ACACCACACCAAAGACCCUAUAUAGGGCAGAGUAAAGAGACACACUGGAACUGAGUGGGAUCACCUGCCUCAGUUCACUUUGCUUUUUAUCUGAAACCUCCUUUCCCCCCAAAUAUAGAAUGAUCCCAGCCCAGGGAGUCGGAGUCCUGGGGCACUGGGCCUAGCCACAGGUUCCACGUGGAUGGGCUGCUGGUGGCCCCAGGGCUACAGAGCAGUCACCUGGGGUAAAGCCAGACUGAAGGCCAGGCAGAGAAGCUGACAAGAGCCACAACCUAAGGUCCUGGAGAGCAACACAGAAAUAACAAGAAAAAAUGGGGAGGCCAAGCAACCAAGUGGGGAGUGGAGCCAUGACAAGUCACUACCGUGAUGGGGUCCACGUAGUGAGAAUUGCGGCCGGUGAAACGCCCAAGGCAAGGAAGGAACGUUUUGGUGCUUUGUUACAACACUGUCCGCGGGACGUAGAAGCCACGACUGACUGGACUUGGGUGACUUACCCACCUUCUCAUAUAGCCUGACGUGGAAUCCCAGCUCCAACUGCUGGAUGUAAUGCCUUGGGCAAGCACCAGAGUAACUUCAUGACAGCAGUCGCAAAGUCAGCGCCCACAGGGGCCAACAGCUAACAUAAAUGUCUCAAGGAGGCCAGAUGGAGACCGUGGGGACUGUUUGAGGAGGUGGAUGCUACGCAGCUUCGCCUGAUUUCCACGAGAAAAUAGAGGGUCAGAUGAUCUUCAAGAGAUGCAAAAAUCCCGAAGGAGUUUAAAUACUGGCAACUAAUUAAAAUGAAAAAAGCAACAGCAUUGUUUGGGCCAAAGAAAAUAGAC